GGCAGGGCCAACCCAGCAGAGAGCUCAGGUUCAUUUAAGUGUUGUCAGGGGAGGCAAGGGUAUCUUGCUGGAGACCUCUGCAUGCCUGAGGCCUUCUGAAGGAUAUUUUUUGUGUUCAUCAGAACUCUUCUGUUGUACAGUACAGAAAUAUUGACGGUGAGUUUCAUAUGUAAAACUGCUUAAAACAGAGGAAAUACCUGAAGAUGAGAUCCAUCAACAUCCAUCUUACAAAAUUAAAGAUAUGUCUUGAAUGACCUAACUUUUUAGAUGUUAUUAAUAUGUACAAGUGAAAUGUUCAUUGUGUUCCACUUGCAGUACUCACAUGCUCUAAGGGCAGAUAUGUUGAACACAGGAAACAGAUGUUUUCAAAAGUAGGUCAGAAUCAAAAUAACAUAACAACACGCAGUGAUGACAGAAUGUCAUAAGAUAUAAUGCAGUCAAUUCAGGUGCCUAAAUCAAGGUGUCUUUUGCCCUCUGAGGCUCUUGUAUAUCUGAAGCACCUGACUGGUGCUUUCCCCUAAACCACCUUACCAUUCUGGACCCGCAGUUAGACCUCAAGAGUGGUAUCAUUAAUUGUAUUAGGUGCUCUGCAUUUAUUAUGGAAAGUCAUGGAUCUGAACUUAGUUCAGCAUUUGCCCUGUGGCUUUAAAGAUGCUUUUAACAAAUCAGAAGUGUAUCUGCAAUCCAAACACAAAAUCAACUAGACUGCAUAGAUUUCUCUAAAUCUUAGAAGAAAGGGCUUCAACAUAUGUGGGAAGACCUACAUUUGCUCUUGUGAAACUGCACACCUUUGAAUAAACACUCCUUUUGAUUUUGAUUUGAA